GACGAACGCUGGCGGCGUGCUUAACACAUGCAAGUCGAACGGAAAGGCCCUGCUUUUGUGGGGUGCUCGAGUGGCGAACGGGUGAGUAACACGUGAGUAACCUGCCCUUGACUUUGGGAUAACUUCAGGAAACUGGGGCUAAUACCGGAUAGGAGCUACUGCUGCAUGGUGGGGGUUGGAAAGUUUCGGCGGUUGGGGAUGGACUCGCGGCUUAUCCGCUUGUUGGGGGGGUAGUGGCUUACCAAGGCUUUGACGGGUAGCCGGCCUGAGAGGGUGACCGGCCACAUUGGGACUGAGAUACGGCCCAGACUCCUACGGGAGGCAGCAGUCGGGAAUAUUGCACAAUGGGCGGAAGCCUGAUGCAGCAACGCCGCGUGCGGGAUGACGGCCUUCGGGUUGUAAACCGCUUUCGCCUGUGACGAAGCGUGAGUGACGGUAAUGGGUAAAGAAGCACCGGCUAACUACGUG
rnacentral:rRNA from 1 species